AGGAUGAACGCUGGCGGCGUGCCUAACACAUGCAAGUCGAACGUACGGGUGUAGCAAUAUGCCCAAAAGUGGCGAACGGGUGAGUAACACGUAGGUAACCUGCCGCGCAGAGGGGGAUAACGACUAGAAAUGGUCGCUAACACCGCAUGGUACCAGUUUGAUGGGAAUCUGGCUGGUUAAAACCUUGGUGCUGCGCGAGGGGCCUGCGUCCGAUUAGUUAGUUGGUGAGGUAACGGCUCACCAAGACGAUGAUCGGUAGCUGGUCUGAGAGGAUGAUCAGUCACACGGGAACUGAGACACGGUCCCGACUCCUACGGGGGGCAGCAGUGAGGAAUAUUGCACAAUGGACGCAAGUCUGAUGCAGCAACGCCGCGUGGAGGAUGAAGGUCUAGGAUUAGUAACUCCUUUUUACAGGAAGAGUGAGGACGGUACUGAAGAAUAAGUCACGGCUAACGUACGUGACCAGUACGACGCGUACGUACGUGAGCGGCGUCGCGAGA
rnacentral:rRNA from 1 species